rnacentral:rRNA from 1 species
CCUACGGGGGGCAGCAGUGGGGAAUAUUGCACAAUGGGGGAAACCCUGAUGCAGCGACGCCGCGUGAGUGAAGAAGUAUUUCGGUAUGUAAAGCUCUAUCAGCAGGGAAGAAAAUGACGGUACCUGACUAAGAAGCCCCGGCUAACUACGUGCCAGCAGCCGCGGUAAUACGUAGGGGGCAAGCGUUAUCCGGAUUUACUGGGUGUAAAGGGAGCGUAGACGGCAGGGCAAGUCUGGAGUGAAAGCCCGCGGCGCAACUGCGGGACGGCUUUGGAAACUGGCGGGCUAGAGUGCGGGAGAGGUAAGCGGAAUUGCUGGUGUAGCGGUGAAAUGCGUAGAUAUUAGGAGGAACACCAGUGGCGAAGGCGGAUUACUGGACAGUAACUGACGUUGAGGCUCGAAAGCGUGGGGAGCAAACAGGAUUAGAUACCCCAGUAGUC